UGGCCGGUAGCUCAGCGGGUAGAGCGCACUCUUGAUAAGGGUGAGGUGGAAGGUUCGAGCCCUUCCCGGCCAAUCA
rnacentral:tRNA from 2 species